CGUCAUUUCCCUGGGACUAUCGUCGCUGUUAUUUUUAUCCAUCCUUUUCUAAUUAUACUACAUUCAUUCUGACUCCAGCCAAGUGAGAAAUGCUAGACUAAACUUUGGGAUCUUCAUCGCCAUGCUUAUCCAUGAUGAUUUUGAUCAUUUUCAUACAUGGUUUAUCCAUAGCAACUUUCCUUCUCUUGGGCCUGGAGAAAAAAAAAAAAGAGUUUGUGAAGCCUUCAGAGAACUCUGGAAACUUCACAGUGCUACUAACAUCAUGUCUCUAAGAAGGCGAGGAAAAUUACAGCCUCACAUAAAGGAAGUGACUCUAAUAGAGACAGAGCGUUCCAGGGGGAUCUGGUGGAAAACACUGAAAGUCAAACAUGAUGAAGUUCCUGAAAGAACCUUAAGAAGCAACUGCUUUGACCUAGAGGAGGGAAAAUGAGGAAAUGAAGCGAAGAUCUGCAUCCAGGAGAUCUCGUGCCAGCACCCAGAUUCUUUAUCCUCCUCCAGCAUUUCAGGCAGGAUGCUGGCGGGAAACCGCUGGUACACGCAAAAUGGCUAAGUCAAGGUGAGUUUUAAAAAGGGACUACAGGGACUUCCCUCGUGACCCAGUGAUUGAGAAUCUGCCUGCCAAUGCAGAGGUCACAGGUUUGAACCCUGCUCCAAGAAUUAAGAUCUCAUGUGGCAGGGCGACUAAGCCUCUGGUCAACAACUACUGGAUCCUGCAUGCCUAGAGCCUGCGCUCGACCACAAGAGGCCACCACGAUGAGAAGUCUCCACCACGAUGGAGAGCAGCUCCCACUCUCUGCAGCUAGAGAAAAGCCCACAUGCAGGCAUGAGGACCCGGUGCGGCCAAAGAUUUAAAAAUAAAUACUUUUUUUAAUGUUCA
rnacentral:lncRNA from 1 species